GCUCCGUUGGUGAACCAGCGGAGGGAUCAUUACUGGAAUCGCAAGAUCCCACAACCCUGUGAACCUACCGAAACGUUGCCUCGACGGGUGCCCCGCCUCUGCGCCGGGCGCUGGGCCCGGCGGCGGCCCCCUACUCUGUCUCUGCAGCGUGGCAUCUCGGAGGCCCAGAAAACAAGUCAAAACUUUUAACAACGGAUCUCUUGGCUCUA
rnacentral:misc_RNA from 1 species